GCAUCUGAUUCGGCAGCACAGAUACUAGAAUCAGAACCACACUGAGAAGAUCAGCAUGGACCCUGCACAAGGAUGUCAUGCAAACGUGCGAAAUGUUCAAAUGCAUC
ensembl:snRNA Gm22929 U6 spliceosomal RNA